AUUGAACGCUGGCGGCAGGCUUAACACAUGCAAGUCGAACGAGUGGCGGACGGGUGAGUAAUGCUUGGGCAACUAGCUUAUGGAGGGGGAUAACUACGGGAAACUGUAGCUAAUACCGCGUACCAUAGGAUGAGCCCAAGUGGGAUUAGGUAGGUGGUGGGGUAAAGGCUCACCAAGCCGACGAUCUCUAGCUGGUCUGAGAGGAUGAACAGCCACACUGGGAAUGAGACACGGCCCAGACUCCUACGGGAGGCAGCAGGGGGGAAUAUGGCGCAAUGGGGGCAACCUGAUGCAGCCAUGCCGCGUGAAUGAAGAAGGCCUUCGGGUUGUAAAGCACUUUCAGCGAGGAGGCGUUACUCGCAGAAGAAGCACCGGCUAACUCCGUGCCAGCCGCCGCGGUAAUAC
rnacentral:rRNA from 1 species